CCUAGUUGAUCUUGCCUGUAGUCAUAUGCUUGUAUCAAAGAUUAAGCCAUGCAUGUGUAAGUAUGAACUAAUUCAGAGUGUGUAACUACGAAUGGCUCAUUAAAACAGUUAUAGUUUGUUUGAUGGUAUCUUCUACUCGGAUAAUCGUAGUAAUUCUAGAGCUAAUACGUCCAACAAACCCCGACUUCUGGAAGGGAUGAUUUAUUAGAUAUAAGCUCGACGUGGGCUCAGCCCGUUGCUGCGAUGAUUCAUGAUAAGUCGACAGAUCCCACGGCCCUCGUGCCGGCAACGCAUUAUUCAAAUUUCUGCCCUAUCAACUUUCCAUGGUAGGAUAGUGGCCUACCAUGGUGGUGAAAAGUGACGGAGAAUUAGGGUUCGACUCCGGAGAAGGAGCCUGAGAAAUGGCUAACGCAUCCAAGGAAGGCAACAGACGUGCAAAUUACUUAAUACUGACACGGGGAGGUAGUGACAAUAAAUAACAAUACCGGGCUCUUUGAGUCUGGUAAUUGGAAUGAAUACGAUCUAAAUCCCUUAAUGACGAUCCAUUGGAGGGCAAGUCUGGUGCUAGCAACCUCGGUAAUUCCAGCUCUAAUAGCAUAUAUUUAAGUUGUUGUAGUUAUAAAGCUCGUAGUUAGACUUUUGGAUGGGCUGGCUGGUCCACCAAUCUGUGUGCACCGAUCAUCUCAUCCCUUCUGCCGGUGAUGUGUUCCUUGCCUUAAUUGGUUGGUUCGUGCCUCCAGCACUGUUACUCUGAAGAAAUUAGGGUGUUCAAAGCAAGCCUAUGCUCUUGAUAUAUUAGAAUGAGAUAACAAUAUAGAUUUUGGUCCUAUUCUUUUGGCCUUCGGGAUAGGAGUAAUUAUUAACAGGGACAGUCGGGGGCAUUCAUAUUUCAUGGUCCGAGUUGAAAUUCUUGGAUUGAUUAAAGAUGAACAACUGGGAAAGCAUUUGCCAAUGAUAAUUUCAUUAAUCAAGAACGAAAGUUGGGGGCUCAAAGAUGAUCAGAUACCGUCCUAGUCUCAACCAUAAACGAUGUUGACCAGGAAUUUGCGGAUAUUGCUUUAAGGACUCCACCAGCACCUUAUGAGAAAUCAAAGUUUUUUGGUCCCGGGGGAGUAUGGUGGCAAGGUUGAAACUUAAAGGAAUUGAAGGAAGGACACCACCAAGAGUGGAGCCUGUGACUUAAUUUGACUCAACACGAGGAAAGUUACUAGGUCCAGACAUAGUAAGGAUUGACAAAGUUAGAGCUCUUUCUUGAUUCUAUGGGUGGUGGUGUAUGGCCGUUCUUAGUUGGUGGAGCUAUUUGUCUGGUUAAGUCCGUUAACGAACGAGACCUCAGCCUGUUAACUAGCUAUGCGGAGGAAUCCCUCCACAGCUAGCUUCUUAGAGGGACUACGACCUUUUUGGCAGCGAAAUUUGAGGCAAUAACAGGUAUGUGAUUCCCUUAGAUGUUCCGGGCUGCACGUGCGCUAUAGCCUUGGUCAUUGUUGGUUUUCAACGAGGAAUUCCUAGUAAGCACGAGUCAUCAGCUCGUGUUAACUACAUCCUUGCCCUUGGUACACAUCGCCCGUCGCUUCUAUCGAUUUAAUGGGUACCUGUCCUUGGAAGCUAAGGCAGAAUGUUCUUCUUGAUUCUAUGGGUGGUGGUGCAUGCAUUCAUAGCCUAGAGGCAGAGGAUUCUUUCUUUUUUCUUUUUUU
rnacentral:rRNA from 1 species